AACGAACGCUGGCGGCAUGCCUAACACAUGCAAGUCGAACGAGAUCUUCGGGUCUAGUGGCGCACGGGUGCGUAACGCGUGGGAAUCUGCCCUUUGGUUCGGAAUAACAGUUGGAAACGACUGCUAAUACUGGAUGAUGACGAAAGUCCAAAGAUUUAUCGCCAGAGGAUGAGCCCGCGUAGGAUUAGCUAGUUGGUGUGGUAAAGGCGCACCAAGGCGACGAUCCUUAGCUGGUCUGAGAGGAUGAUCAGCCACACUGGGACUGAGACACGGCCCAGACUCCUACGGGAGGCAGCAGUGGGGAAUAUUGGACAAUGGGCGAAAGCUUGAUCCAGCAAUGCCGCGUGAGUGAUGAAGGCCUUAGGGUUGUGAAGCUCUUUUACCCGGGAUGAUAAUGACAGUACCGGGAGAAUAAGCUCCGGCUAACUCCGUGCCAGCCGCCGCAGUAA
rnacentral:rRNA from 1 species